rnacentral:rRNA from 1 species
UGCGUAGGGUGCGAGCGUUGUCCGGAAUUACUGGGCGUAAAGAGCUCGUAGGUGGUUUGUCGCGUUGUCCGUGAAAACUCACAGCUUAACUGUGGGCGUGCGGGCGAUACGGGCAGACUGGAGUACUGCAGGGGAGACUGGAAUUCCUGGUGUAGCGGUGGAAUGCGCAGAUAUCAGGAAGAACACCCGUGGCGAAAGCGGCUCUCUGGGACGGUACUGACGCUGAGACGCGAAAGCGUGGGGAGCGAACAGG